rnacentral:lncRNA from 1 species
CUUCAUCCCACCCCAGGCAGGACUUUGACCUGGCUGUACAGACUGACCCCAGGAUGAGCAGCCUCGACCCUUCCCUGGGCCUUCGCAGAGUCAAACGCUGCCAGUUCUUGUUUCUGCGUCAGCUGCCUAGUUUCCAGUUUAGGGCCGACAGCCGAGACUCCCACUCCCCAAACUUCCACCCUAAUUGGCAGUAGCUGCAAAGCAGGGCAUUUAGAGGGAAAGACCAACCUCUGCCUUGCUCCUUACUCCCACCAUCACCACCGGCGUGCGGGUUCCCCAAGCCUGACAAGUUGCUGGCUACGUGUUCCUAAGAGGCAAGAGUGAAAGAAAGCUCUGCCUUUGUUGGAAGCUUCUGUAGCUGGAGCAACCAUAAGGAAGCAAUGUGCGGAAUUGAUGAGCCUUGCCCAAGAAUGAAACACCCCAAGUUUGCUCCCUAUAAGUAACAGACGGAAGUUGGACUCAACACUUCAAGCGAUCUCAGCUCUGGGAGAUUGACCCGGAUGUUUCUUUGAUGUUUAUAGGACAAGGAGACCUAAUAUUUCAAAACUGAAAAGUUACACUGUGUUCCUGUGUCUGAACUUCUUCCUGCUGCUUCCCGAGCAACAACUAAGGAGUAACACAUUUCCUAGGCCCUCUAAUAACACCUUCCCAGGUUUGUUUGGAGAAUGCUUUUCAUUUGCACCAGAAAUUAUGUAAAUACUCUUCAUUUUAGUUCAAAGCAAAAGAAACAAAUCUUUUGGUUGAUUUCCUAUUUCACUUAAGAGAUUUUCAUUUAUAAAAUAGUGGGGUAGUGACCCACAGAUGGGGAACAAAAUAAUUUCUUUACCCACAAACUCUUCUAUUAGCUGCUGAGAAUUGUAACAGACUGUACCUGGCCCAAAACAUUUAAAAGGAACUAUGGUAGCAAGUCCAAAUAACUCAGUUUGUCUCCUGGGUCACCUUUCCCAUCUCUUGGGAUCAGUGUCACAGAUAAAGCUGCUCUCUCCCAGUAGGGGAGAGAGCUACAAAGCAACAGGAGCACAUAAAAUGACAUAUUUCGUUUCUGAAGACAAAGAAGACAAAAAGGUAUGCCCCAGUUAUAGUUUCUUGCCUAAUUACAGCUUCAAGAUGGCCAAAUAUGUCAGAUGAAUAUGAAAC